rnacentral:rRNA from 1 species
CGCAUCUGUGCAUGCAGCAUAUCAAUAAGCGGAGGAAAAGAAACUAACAAGGAUUCCCCUAGUAACGGCGAGUGAAGCGGGAAGAGCUCAAAUUUGAAAUCUUAAAGGGUUUCCCUUUACGAAUUGUAGUUUAAAGAAGUGUUUUCUGUUGAGGUUUGGUAAAAGUUCUUUGGAAUAGGACAUCAUAGAGGGUGAGAAUCCCGUAUUUGACCUUUACUUUCAACUUUGUGAUACACUUUCAAAGAGUCGGAUUGUUUGGGAAUGCAGUCCAAAAUGGGUGGUAAAUUUCAUCUAAAGCUAAAUAUUGGCGAGAGACCGAUAGCGAACAAGUACCGUGAGGGAAAGAUGAAAAGAACUUUGAAAAGAGAGUUAAACAGUACGUGAAAUUGUCAAAAGGGAAGCGUUUGACACCAGUGUUGUUUUUCUGAAAAUCAAUUAAAGAACUGUUUAUGCUAAGCUGUUUAGACUUUAUCAGCUAACUGUUUAGUUUUGAGCUUUUCUUUAAUGCACUUUUCAGUUAACAAGUCAACAUCAAUUUCUUUUGCUGUAAAAAAGCUUGAGGAAGGUGGCUUGAGAUUCGUCUUAAGUGUUUAUAGCCUCUUGCCUAUGCAGUCGGAGAGAUUGAGGUCUGCAGCGUAGAUCCUUCGGGGCUAAAUGCAUUUGUGCUAAGUUAUAGCAUUUUAUAGACAACUUGUUGACUAUGAUUUGUCUUGUAGCUUACUCGCUUAUGUUAUUUUACCUACGCUUAGGAUGUUGAGUCAUCACACAUCUCU